GACGAACGCUGGCGGCGUGCUUAACACAUGCAAGUCGAACGAAGUGGCGAACGGGUGAGUAACGCGUAAUCAACCUGCCCUUCAGAGGGGGACAACAGUUGGAAACGACUGCUAAUACCGCAUACUGAAGGAGGGGCUUGCGUCUGAUUGGCUCGUUGGAGGGGUAACGGCCCACCAAGGCGAUGAUUAGUAGCCGGGUUGAGAGGGUGAACGGCCAAAUCGGGACUGAGAAACCGCCCAGAAUCCUACGGGAGGGAGCAGGGGGGAAUCUUUCGCAAUGGAGGGAAGUCUGACGGAGCAACGCCGCGGGAUGGAGGACGGCCUUCGGGUUGUAAAGCUCUGUUAAGCGGGACGCGGUACCGGAAUAGAAAGCAACGGCUAACUACGUGCCAGCAGCCGCGGUAAUUC
rnacentral:rRNA from 1 species